rnacentral:rRNA from 1 species
UGAGUAAUGUCUGGGAAACUGCCUGAUGGAGGGGGAUAACUACUGGAAACGGUAGCUAAUACCGCAUAACGUCUUCGGACCAAAGUGGGGGACCUUCGGGCCUCAUGCCAUCAGAUGUGCCCAGAUGGGAUUAGCUAGUAGGUGGGGUAAUGGCUCACCUAGGCGACGAUCCCUAGCUGGUCUGAGAGGAUGACCAGCCACACUGGAACUGAGACACGGUCCAGACUCCUACGGGAGGCAGCGGUGGGGAAUAUUGCACAAUGGGCGCAAGCCUGAUGCAGCCAUGCCGCGUGUAUGAAGAAGGCCUUCGGGUUGUAAAGUACUUUCAGCGAGGAGGAAGGCAUUAAGGUUAAUAACCUUAGUGAUUGACGUUACUCGCAGAAGAAGCACCGGCUAACUCCGUGCCAGCAGCCGCGGUAAUACGGAGGGUGCAAGCGUUAAUCGGAAUUACUGGGCGUAAAGCGCACGCAGGCGGUCUGUCAAGUCGGAUGUGAAAUCCCCGGG